rnacentral:lncRNA from 1 species
GGCUGGCUAUACAAAGGUCGUGACUUUCCCUUCUUUAUGAGGGUGGCGUUCUCACAAAAACCCUAGGGUGCCAACUGUCUCCUACAAUAUUGGCCCCUUAUGUUUUUGCCAACAAUGGCCCAAUGUGCACAAGUUUAAUUAAAAACAUCCUAGACUACUAAGUUAUAAUGUAAUUAAAAUUGAAAUGUCUAAGUGAAGAGUCUUCAAUUAUUUUGUGUCCUUC